UGGUGGACGGGUGAGUAACGCGUGGGUAACCUGCCUCAUACAGGGGAGUAACAGUUAGAAAUGACUGCUAAUACCGCAUAAGACCACAGCACCGCAUGGUGCAGGGGUAAAAACUCCGGUGGUAUGAGAUGGACCCGCGUCUGAUUAGGUAGUUGGUGGGGUAACGGCCUACCAAGCCGACGAUCAGUAGCCGACCUGAGAGGGUGACCGGCCACAUUGGGACUGAGACACGGCCCAA
rnacentral:rRNA from 1 species